rnacentral:antisense_RNA from 1 species
GCUCUGAACAGGCCGACAGUCAUAGACGAGUAGACCUUAGGCGAGGGAAGGCAUGUACUUUCCCUAAGAAGCGGGAGGAGAGAAAUAAAUAGAGGGCAGUGGGAUGAGAAGAACCUCGCGGGAUGGGAAGCCGCGGAGGGAAGGGCCGUCUUUGGUUACCUGGAGAGCGGGAGCAGCUGCGGAUCCCUUAUGAAGUGCCCGGAUGAAGCUCCAGCGCUCACGCGCUUUCCGCAUUGAGUGCAGCGCCAUCUUGAGAAGGGCGGAGCCGUCUUGUUCGGAAUGACGUCUGUUCAGAGAGCCAAUCCCAGUCUCGCGACUCCUGCUUGCGGGGCGCGGCCUGGGCCUCCAGGCUGCGCAGCGCAGCCGCUAUCAGGCGGAGUGCAGUUCUUGCCGAGCAGUCGCAAUGAUUUGUAUGAUAGCUGCUAGCCCAAGAGAGAGUUCCAGAAGAGGGCUACCUGACAGGUGCUGUGGCAUUUAGAAGAGGAAUGGAGCCACUGUCAACGCACAGCUUGCAGGUGAGCAGGAGAGUCAGUCUAAGAAGGAAAUGUGAUGAUGGAAACAGAGGUUGGAAGAUGGAAGGGGACCCAGAGUCAAGGAAUGCAGAUGGAGUCUUGCUCUGCUGCCCAGGCUGGAGUGCAGUGGAGCGAUCUUGGCUCACUGCAACGUCCAUCUUCUGGGUUCAAGCGAUUCUCCUGCUUCAGCCUCUCAAGUAGCUGGGAUUACAGGCGCCCACCACACCCGGCUA